AACGAACGCUGGCGGCAUGCCUAACACAUGCAAGUCGAACGAGACCUUCGGGUCUAGUGGCGCACGGGUGCGUAACGCCUGGGAACCUGCCCUUAGGUUCGGAAUAACUCCCCGAAAGGGGUGCUAAUACCGGAUAAUGUCUUCGGACCAAAGAUUUAUCGCCUUUGGAUGGGCCCGCGUUGGAUUAGCUAGUUGGUAGGGUAAAAGCCUACCAAGGCGACGAUCCAUAGCUGGUCUGAGAGGAUGAUCAGCCACACUGGGACUGAGACACGGCCCAGACUCCUACGGGAGGCAGCAGUGGGGAAUAUUGGACAAUGGGCGAAAGCCUGAUCCAGCAAUGCCGCGUGAGUGAUGAAGGCCGUAGGGUUGUAAAGCUCUUUUACCCGGGAUGAUAAUGACAGUACCGGGUGAAUAAGCUCCGGCUAACUCCGUG
rnacentral:rRNA from 1 species